AUGCCGGCUGCUUCUGGCGCCUCCGGCGCAGCGCGGCACGCCCCAAGCUGCCCACGGUCGGCGCCUCCCUCCCCUCCAUCCAGACUCUCUGCUCCCGGCCUCUACAGCCCGCUCGCAACCACACACCCAUGGCUAGGGUUUCGGGCAUGGCUUCGCCGGCGCGUCUCAGGUGGUCCCAGGUUCGUCCUUCCUUCCUUCUUGGCCGAGAUCGCCUUCUCUUCAAAUCCUCUGCUGGAGAUGCAGUUGGGGCACGCCAUGGGAGUUCCCCAUCCACCACGGUCACCGCCGUCAAGGGAUUCUUCAAGGAGAUGUCAAGGACGCCAUGGACAUGCAGCUCCUCAAGGUUUUAUCCCUCCUUUCCUCUGA
rnacentral:rRNA from 1 species